rnacentral:rRNA from 1 species
AGGGAAUCUUCCACAAUGGGCGAAAGCCUGAUGGAGCAACGCCGCGUGUGUGAUGAAGGCUUUCGGGUCGUAAAGCACUGUUGUAUGGGAAGAACAGCUAGAAUAGGAAAUGAUUUUAGUUUGACGGUACCAUACCAGAAAGGGACGGCUAAAUACGUGCCAGCAGCCGCGGUAAUACGUAUGUCCCGAGCGUUAUCCGGAUUUAUUGGGCGUAAAGCGAGCGCAGACGGUUUAUUAAGUCUGAUGUGAAAGCCCGGAGCUCAACUCCGGAAUGGCAUUGGAAACUGGUUAACUUGAGUGCAGUAGAGGUAAGUGGAACUCCAUGUGUAGCGGUGGAAUGCGUAGAUAUAUGGAAGAACACCAGUGGCGAAGGCGGCUUACUGGACUGCAACUGACGUUGAGGCUCGAAAGUGUGGGUAGCAAACA